UACGGGGGGAGCAAGCGUUGUUCGGAUUUACUGGGCGUAAAGGGCGCGUAGGCGGUCAGCACAAGUCAGUUGUGAAAUCUCCGGGCUUAACUCGGAAAGGUCAACUGAUACUGUGCGACUAGAGUGCGGAAGGGGCAACUGGAAUUCUCGGUGUAGCGGUGAAAUGCGUAGAUAUCGAGAGGAACACCUGCGGCGAAGGCGGGUUGCUGGGCCGACACUGACGCUGAUGCGCGAAAGCCAGGGGAGCGAACGUG
rnacentral:rRNA from 1 species